AUUAUACCACUAGCAUUGUUGACUCUUGCCCUCUUGCAUCGUUUCAUGAGUUCGGCAUUUAACGUUCUGUUAAAUUCUGUACUUCGGAGUUGCUUGACCUGGGAAAGGUUUUCUCCCUGCACUUGGUUCACGUCUGUUUUUAUUGCUGUAGUGCUGCUGCCAUUGUUGGGUCAAAUGAAUGUCCUUCAUGCACUUUCAUGCCAAGCAAGAAAGACAAAUUAGGCUGAAGCAGGCUACAUUAAUUCAUUUAAAAGUAGCAGCGUGCAGCAUCGACUUAUACCUGGAUUUUCAUUUCAUGCAUUUUAUAGUACCAGCCAGAGGUAGACGUGUAAAUUAUUAAGGGGUGUAACCUGCAGACAUGAAUCACUUUUGAUUUUAGGACAGACCGUAAUAGGUGUGGCGUAGGACGUAAGCUGUGGACCCGUUGAUCUAGGAUGACCGAGAGCCUUCAGGGUGGCUGUUCUUAAAUUACGAAGCUUGUGAAGAUACAGUGUCAAGCAGUUAUGGGGGUGAUGCUUUGGGCUGAACCUAUUUCUGGGUAACUAGGCACAGCCUGACAGUCCAGGUCCUGACAGUCCAGGUCCUUAUUCUGGCUGGUUUGAGGUGGCUGUCGGGCCUUUUCCUCAUUUUGGGAUGAAAUGCUUAUCAGAAUUCUCUCUUUUUUUCAGAAGUCUACUUUCUCAGUCUCCUGGUCCUCAGACUUACAGGGAAAAUUGGGGGGGUGGGUGGCAGGAGUGUAACUGUACACAUAUCCAUACCGAGAAUUUUCAGCACGGGCCUUUCGGUUCGGUGCGCAUAUGUACUGAAUGAAUUUGGCAAAUGCGGAACCUUUGUGUGUUUAUCUAUUGUUCCCCCGAGCAACAUUCGGAAAGGGGGGGAUGAAGCUGAGCCACUUUGUAUGCGUAUGUAUGUCCUAAUGUGAAGCUGGAAGUUGUUAAUGUGAAUACAAGUAUAGCACAAGUUUUUUUUUUUUUUUUUGUUUUUUUUUAAAUGCUGCACCAUAAUGGAUAUUUAUUCUCUUAUACUCUGUGUAUUUUGAGACGGUUGCACGGCUCAAAUAUGAAGUUGAAACUUGCUAAUGUGAAUACAGUAGAGAUCAGGUACAGCUAAUUUUCUGAAUGUGCACCUUAAUGGAUAUUCUUAUUUACCUGAGACAAUAUUUAUUUUGAUUUACUACUAAGUAAGUUAUAGCUUUUUAUUAGUUGGUCGCAGCAGUAUUGACAGGGAUUUUUAAAAACAGUCGUACUUUGUUCAGUAAACCACUGUUAAAUUUGCUUCCUUUUUCUUUAUUAGUUUUAUUUUUUACCCCCGAUGUACCGUAAACGUACUGAACCGUGACUUCAAAACCGCGGUAUGUACUGACCUGUGAAUUUAAAAAUUUUUUUUUUUGUGUACCGUUACACUGCUAAUUGGUGGCAGGAUUGGCCCUCCAGCCACCAGUAAAAACUCACAUGGUUCCAUUCAGACUUGUUUGGUGCUGAGGUAUCACCCGCCACAUGUCUGCACUCGGGUUCCCAUCCCUGGGGUUGUUUGUAGCAUGGUGAGUGCAGCAACAUGCUGUAAUCAGUGCUCACUCUUUACCUCCUCAGUCUGUCUUGCACUUUUCUCUUACUCUGUUUAUUCACUUAUCCGAUGCUUUUAUCUAGUGAAAUUUAAAGUAGAGGGUCGGGUUGCAUUGUUAGCGCAGUGCUUUCCAUGGGAAUGGCCACGGGUGACAGAUGAGUCUAUGAAUAUGCCUUUUUGGGGAUUCUCACACAUUUAAUUGGUCCUGAUUGAGUGGAGGGGCGUCAGUUCAUGGUGACAUGGGUUAUACUGCAGAAGACUCCAGUGAACUGGAGAUAAACGAUCGUAUUUGUAUAUCCAGCUGUUCAAACUUUAGAGAGUAAAAUGUGUAGAUUCUGUAAGAGUCUAGUCAGCUGUGUGACAUCACGGAAUUUAAUGAGUCAGGAAGAGCAACAAAUUCGUUGACAGCAAUCUGUUAACCCGGUGAUCCAAAACGGACAAGAACCUAAUUUCAAUCUGGGAUCAUCUCCAGAAAGAUCGUCACAGAAAAACAAACUUGUGUGG